rnacentral:lncRNA from 1 species
UUCCUCCCUCUCUGAGAAUUGUCUUGUCAUCCUUUUGGUUCGCUUUGUUUUUGUAUCCUCAUGGCUUGGAUAUUUGAACCCUUUAUAAUGAGCUUUUACAAUUAAUAGGAUAUUAGUGUUUUGUUAUACAGAUGGCAGAUGUUUCUUCAAUUGCCUCUUUAUUCAUAGGUCGGUACGCACCAGGUUUGACGUGUGAUCCCUUCCGUUGCCUGUUUGAUGCAGAGGUUUCCCUUCGUCUUGAGUGUGUAUUGUCAAUAGAAUAUCUUUAAAAAGUUUCCUGUCUUAUAUUUACCUCUUCUUAUCCGCCUAAGAAUAAUUUUGCUGUGAAAAGCUGACAGGAUUUUUGCUUUUUUCCCCAGCAUCACGUGUUAGAUGACACCUGCCUGCUGAUUUGGUCUUCUGGACGAGGUAUGUUUGUGAACCUUCUAUUGUUUCCUGAAUUCUUGGCUAUGAAGAAUUCGUGGCGGGUGAGGAGGUUGGUGUUUGGAAGAACUGAUGACCAGCAUGAUGAGGAGAUUCCUCACCGUGGUGACCAGCUCAGUUUUCUAAACUGUGUUCCCUGGAUGUUAACAAGUGAUUCAAGAAGUUUCUGUGAUAUUUGAAGCCCGAGUGUCAUUGGGAGCUCAUGCUUGAAGCCUUGUCAGACAA